rnacentral:rRNA from 1 species
CCUACGGGACGCAGCAGUGGGGAAUAUUGCACAAUGGGCGCAAGCCUGAUGCAGCCAUGCCGCGUGUAUGAAGAAGGCCUUCGGGUUGUAAAGUACUUUCAGCGGGGAGGAAGGUGUUGUGGUUAAUAACCGCAGCAAUUGACGAUACCCGCAGAAGAAGCACCGGCUAACUCCGUGCCAGCAGCCGCGGUAAUACGGAGGGUGCAAGCGUUAAUCGGAAUUACUGGGCGUAAAGCGCACGCAGGCGGUCUGUCAAGUCGGAUGUGAAAUCCCCGGGCUCAACCUGGGAACUGCAUUCGAAACUGGCAGGCUAGAGUCUUGUAGAGGGGGGUAGAAUUCCAGGUGUAGCGGUGUAAUGCGUAGGGAUCUGGAGGAAUACCGGUGGCGAAGGCGGCCCCCUGGACAAAGACUGACGCUCAGGUGCGAAAGCGUGGGGAGCAAACAGGAUUAGAUACCCCUGUAGUC